CCUACGGGUGGCAGCAGUGAGGAAUAUUGGUCAAUGGUCGGGAGACUGAACCAGCCAAGCCGCGUGAGGGAUGAAGGUACAGAGUAUCGUAAACCUCUUUUGUCAGGGAACAAAGGCGGGGACGUGUCCCCGGCUGAGUGUACCUGAAGAAAAAGCAUCGGCUAACUCCGUGCCAGCAGCCGCGGUAAUACGGAGGAUGCGAGCGUUAUCCGGAUUUAUUGGUUUUAAAGGGUGCGCAGGCGGUCUGUUAAGUAAGCGGUCAAAGCCCGGGGCUCAACCCGGGCCCGCCGUUGAAACUGGCAGUAUGGAGUUGGUGAGAAGUAUGCGGAAUGCGCGGGGUAGCGGUGAAAUGCAUAGAUAUCGCGCAGAACUCCGAUUGCGAAGGCAGCAUGCCGGCUCCACACUGACGCUGAGGCACGAAAGCGUGGGUAUCGAACAGGAUUAGAUACCCGUGUAGUC
rnacentral:rRNA from 1 species